ACUAGGCUCUCAGCCAGGGAUGAUGCGCUGCUGCCGCCGCCGCUGCUGCUGCCGGCAACCACCCCAUGCCCUGAGGCCGUUGCUGUUGCUGCCCCUCGGUGAGUGCGGGCAUCCGGGGCCCGGGCCACACCCCCUUCUCGCCCAGCCAAGCCAGGCUGGGCAUAGGGUGUGUGGGAACGCUGGGUGCCAGGGUGGAGAAGAGUUGUAAGGGCUCCAGGAAGGUGUGCUGGUGACUUCAGGACAGAAAGUGAGAGGCACAAACAGCCCCAGUUAUGGGAGAAGGACUCCAAAAUUUGCAUCCCCUCUUAUGAUAAAGGGAGACAUGCCAAUGGCAGGACUUAUAGACCAGUCGUAGGAUCCCUAAGUCCUCUCUGAGGGUCUGGCCUGGAUCCCAAUACCUCUGCAUCCUGCCUUGUCUCUCCAAAAAUAUUUAUCUUUAGAGAGAGUUCGGAGGGCCAAGCAAAGCUUGUCUAAACCGCAGAGAGAUGCACCUGCUCCUGGUCCGGGGCCUCUGGACCUCCCUCCCCUCCACCCUGUCCUGACUCCUUUACAUGGACCCUUGUCACCCCACCUGCGGCCCCAGAAGCUCAAAGGAAGAGCUGACCUGGGGUACACAACACCCCCUUCCCCUGUACAAAUCCCAGUCUGGGUCCUACCUUGAAGGGGGCCUGGGUAGGUAAUCCCCAGACUUGCCCUUUAGUUCCCUGGGGCACCCUUUUUCCGCUGAGUCACAUCCCCAGAGUGCUCCCAGGUAAACAAGCCCCUGGGGGCUGGGGGAUGAGCCUGGCUCAUCCUAUCUACCAUUCCUUCCCCACCCCACCCCCGCCCCACUUCUAGUCCUUUUACCUCCCCUGGCAGCAGCUGCAGCGGGCCCAAACCGAUGUGACACCAUAUACCAGGGCUUCGCCGAGUGUCUCAUCCGCUUGGGGGACAGCAUGGGCCGCGGAGGCGAGCUGGAGACCAUCUGCAGGUACCGGCGGGUGUGAGGCAGUGGCCCAACCUGUGCCACCAUUGGGGACUGAACCUUUUAUUUCCCAAGCUAAAGUCUCCUUGCCUCACCUAAUCCCCCUAAUCCCACUCCCUUAACAGGUCUUGGAAUGACUUCCAUGCCUGUGCCUCUCAGGUCCUGUCAGGCUGUCCGGAGGAGGCAGCUGCAGUGUGGGAAUCACUACAGCAAGAAGCUCGCCAGGCCCCCCGUCCGAAUAACUUGCACACUCUGUGCGGUGCCCCGGUGCAUGUUCGGGAGCGCGGCACAGGCUCCGAAACCAACCAGGAGACGCUGCGGGCUACAGCGCCUGCACUCCCCAUGGCCCCUGCGCCCCCACUGCUGGCGGCUGCUCUGGCUCUGGCCUACCUCCUGAGGCCUCUGGCCUAGCUUGUUGGGUUGGGUAGCAGCGCCCGUACCUCCAGCCCUGCUCUGGCGGUGGUUGUCCAGGCUCUGCAGAGCGCAGCAGGGCUUUUCAUUAAAGGUAUUUAUAUUUG
rnacentral:lncRNA from 1 species